UUGAUGGGUAUGAUCCCGGCCCAGGACUAACGCUGGCGGCGUGCAUAACACCUGCGAGUCGAACGACCUCGAUUCCCUCUUAACGAGGAAUCGGGAAAGUGGCGAACGGCUUAGUAACGCGUAGGUAACCUACCCCAGAGCCCACUAUAGCCUCGGCAGCAACCGGGGGUAAUGGUGGAUGAGGACCCCGUGGGGCAUCCUGCGGGGUUCAAAGGAGAUUUUCUCCGCUUUGGGAGGGGCCUGCGUCCUAUCAGCUAGUUGGUGUGGGUAACGGCCCACCAAGGCGACGACGGGUAGCUGGUCUGGAAGGACGGCCAGCAAGAAGGGGACUGAGACACGGCCCCUCUUCGGCGGGCGACCGCCGGGGCGAGCAGUGGGGAAUCGACCGCAAUGCGCGAAAGCGUGACGGCGCGACGCCGCGUGGAGGAGGACGCUCCGGUUCGACCGGAGUGUAAACUCCUGUCACGGUGGGAUGAAUACUGACAGUACCGCCGGAGAAAGCGCCGACCAACUACGUCUCAGCAGUCGCGAGUCAGACGUGGGGCGCGAGCGUUGUCCGGAUUCACUGGGCGUAAAGGGUGCUACAGCGGCCGGAUAAGUUGCGGGUGAAAUCCUCAGGCUCAACCUGAGAACUGCUCGCAAUACUGUUCGGCUAGAGGACAGGAGAGGAGAGCGGAAUUCCCGGUGUACCGGUGAAAUGGGUUGAUAUCGGGAGGAACGCCGAUGGCGAAGGCAGCUCUCUGGACUGUUCCUGACGCCAAGAAGCACGAAAGCUGGGGGAGCGAACCGGAUUGGAGACCCGGGUAGUCCCAGCCCUAAAAGAUGGAUACUAGCCGUGGGGAAGCGAUCGGUGAUUCGUACGCGCGAAGCGAUCGGUUGCCGAGGUGUUCCCCGUGGCGAAGCUAACGCGUUAAGUAUCCCGCCUGGGUAGUACGGCCGCAAGGCUGAAAUCCAAGGGAAUUGGCGAGCGCCUGCACAAGCGGCGGAGCAUGUGGUUUAAUUGGACCCUGACCCAAGAACCUUACCAGGGCUCUCCCGUGGGCCGGGCAACCGGAGGCAUUAAGCCGGAAACGGCCAUGCCUUAUGCUCCAAAAGAGCUAGCCCGCGGGAGAAGGUGCCAGGUAGCUGCCGUCAGUCCGUGCCGUGAGGUGUGGGGUUCACUCCCCGUAACGGACGAAACCCUCACCGCAUGUUGCUACCAUAUCCGACCCUGAAUCGGAUGUUGGGCACUCUUGCGGAACCGCCGGGCAACCGGGAGGAAGGAGGGGAUGACGACAAGUCCGCACGACCCGCAUGCCCUGGGCCACACACAUGCUACAAUGGGCACUGACAAAGGGUUGCAACACCGCGAGGUGGAGCUAAUCUCAAAAACGUGCCCUCAGUUCGGAUUGCAGUCUGCAACUCGACUGCAUGAAGCCGGAGUCGCUAGUAACCGCAGGUCAGCGAUACUGCGGUGAAUACGUUCCCAGGCGCUGUACA
rnacentral:rRNA from 1 species